AGUUUGUGCAACUUUGAUUAGGAAUUGGAUGGUGAGUUGGGAUCCCCCAGUCCUUAGCUUUUUGCUGGAGUUCUGUAAAUCUCAAAAUGUCAGCCACAGGCCAUUUCUUUUGGUUUAUUUAAGUGUAGAUUUUUUAAAAAAUCACUUUUUCCACUUCAUGGCUCCUUUGGACCAGGGUAUAAAAAUAGCGAUGCCACCAGGAGCCAAGCUCUUUCUGGAAUAAUGAAGCAGGCGAGGACGGAGCCUUGCUCAGGACGACAGAAGGCUUGCAGCCUGCCUCAAACGCAACUCUAAUUUCAGCCACUUCACUUCUUCCCCCCGCGCUCAGACUUGCCUCAAAGGAAGGAGCCGUUUAUGAGACACUCCGUGGCGCGCCCAACACGGUUACCCAGGCGCCUAUCACCCUUCUGGGACCCGGCCACCUGUAAGAACCUGGAGGGCGGAGCGGGCGAGGUUGUUCGGGGAAGGGAUCCCCGGCGGCUGAGGACAUCCAGGAGCACCGAGAUUCUUGGGGAGGACCUCGCCGGGCCCAGCGCAGGAGCCGCCGCGCGUCCAGCGGCUCCACCGCCGCAGCCUCGGGAACCGGGCGCCCCAGGUCUCAGGCGCGCCCCGCCGCGGACGCGAAUGGACUCGUCCGGCCUCGGCCCCUGCAGCGAAGCUCCGCUUCACACCAGCGCUGGGCUGUCCGGCCGCAACCUGCGCGCCGCGGGGGGCGUCUUACCUGUUGAUCUUGAGCGCGAACGCGCGGCGCUCUGCGCUCGGCAGAGUGGCCAUGGCCCGCCGGCGGUUCGGUGGCUUCUAGGGUCGCGGGGUGCGGAAAGCGGGGGCCUGGCGCGCCGCAGAGUAGCCGCGGAACAUGCCCAGCCAAGCGCAAACCUCGUCUGUCGGUCGGCGCUGGAAACUUCCGCAUUUCCACCUUCUAAGCCGAAAUCACCCCGGGGGAGGGUCCGAGCUCGGAGCAGCGACGGCCGGCUCCGCCACCCGGCCUGGCGCGCAGGCAGCGGCGGGCGAGGAGGGCGUGGGCCCAGCGCGGAACUGGCCUCCCGAUACUGGGGCAGACGGCGCGCUCUGCCCGGGGCCGCCGACCUCCGGCCGAAGGGAGCGCGGGCGGACGACAGGCGACCACUGCGCGCAGGCCGGAAGCUCCAUCUGCCCGAAGCUGCGAGGCUGCCAGGGAAUGUAGGCAAGUCGGGGGAGCCCCACAAAGCUGGCGAGGUCGGGAAUCACCCCAGGGAUUCGUAAGGCUAGGUGUUAUUAAGGGUUGACACCAUUCUCGAAGAAGGCAGCCAAAAAAAAAGACAAAAAAGUUAGUGGAAUCUAUCAGGAUUCAAAUCAACUUUUGCAAGCAAUAUGCCCAUCAUCCUUCCUGAGACACUAAAUAAAUAUAAUGGAUUCAUCCAAGGAAUAAACAUUAUGAGUUCUCAAAAAAUGUUUUCGUCACAACCUGGCGUGAAUGCUUUUCUCCGGAGAAACACUGAAGGCGGCGUUCUUGCGAUUCAAGGGUACGCUGCGUCCAGGUUUAUUUCAGUUUCAGACUGAGGUCUGCUAAGAAGCCCGGCCUCAAACUCAAGAUAAAAACAGAAAAGUCCCAGUGUUGACGGGAGUGGAGGAGCCCGUGUUCGCUUCAAGGUGCCGGCGUGCUGCUCUAACCUGUGCUAUAUAUACUCGAGCACUCUCCAUAUAAUGCCUCCAUUUACCAACUUGCUCUUAAAAAAUACCAAAGCAGGCCGGGCGCGGUGGCUCACGCCUGUGAUCCCAGCACUUUGGGAGGCCGAGGCGGGCGCAUCACGAGGUCAGGAGAUCGAGACCAUCCUGGCCAACGUGGUGAAACCCCGUCUCUACUAAAAUACAAAAAAUUAGCCGGGCGUGGUGGCGCACGCCUUAGUCCCAGCUACUUGGGAGGCUGAGGCAGGGGAAUCACUUGAACCCGGGAGGCGGAGCUUGCAGUGAACCGAGAUCUGCCACUGCACUCCAGCCUGGCGACAGAGCAAGUCUCCGUCUAAAAGAAAAAAAAAAAAACAACCAAAGCGAAGUAUUUUUGGUUCAAACCUGCACUAUUUAAUAUGAUAGCCACUAGCCACAUGUGGCUAUUGACCACUCGGCAUUAUGGUUAGUCUGAAUUGCCCACUGCUGGAUGUGUAAAAUGUACACUGGAAUUUAAAGACAGCGCAGAAAACAUCGUGUAAAAUGUCUUGUUAAUGAUUUUCAUGUUGAUUGCAUGUUAAAUGAUACUUUGGAUAUAAAAAAUAUAUUAUUAAAGUUAAUUUCACCUGUUUGUUUUCCCCUUUUAAAAA